rnacentral:sRNA from 1 species
UCUUAGCCCUGAUUGAAGCCAAUAGCUUUUUGUUCUGGUGUUCAGAACCAAAACUAUGGCGAAAAGCAGGAACAUGA